rnacentral:rRNA from 1 species
UACGGAGGGAGCUAGCGUUGUUCGGAAUUACUGGGCGUAAAGCGCACGUAGGCGGCUUUGUAAGUUAGGGGUGAAAAGCCCGGUGCUCAACACCGGAAUUGCCUUUAAGACUGCAUCGCUUGAAUCCAGGAGAGGUGAGUGGAAUUCCGAGUGUAGAGGUGAAAUUCGUAGAUAUUCGGAAGAACACCAGUGGCGAAGGCGGCUCACUGGACUGGUAUUGACGCUGAGGUGCGAAAAGCGUGGGGGAGCAA